ACGCUCGACACCUACUGGAGGCAGCAGUGGGGAAUAUUGCACAAUGGGGGAAACCCUGAUGCAGCGACGCCGCGUGAGUGAAGAAGUAUUUCGGUAUGUAAAGCUCUAUCAGCAGGGAAGAAGAUGACGGUACCUGAGUAAGAAGCCCCGGCUAACUACGUGCCAACAGCCGCGGUAAUCUGAGCGGGCUGGCAAGGC
rnacentral:rRNA from 1 species